rnacentral:lncRNA from 1 species
AGAGAGGUCAGCGUCACAAUGAGAAGGGAGGAGACCGAUCUUCCGGGAACAGAGGCCGCCUCAGGACUGGGCGAGGGGUGCGGUGGGGGGAGGGACAGUGACAUGCAGCACAGAUGUGCGGUGGAGGGAAGGUGCCGCCUCGCCAGCCGCCGCCAGGGUGAGUGAGAGUGGGGGCAGAUCGCCGUGGAGGGAUCUCCGCGUGGCGCCGGGACACCUGGUUCCUGAUGGAAGGAUCCUAAGUCCAUUCAAGGGUCGGAGGACCAUGGCCAUCCACAAAGGGAAGGUGCUAACGGUCCUGGGGCUUCGAUCUCUCCCGGAGCCGCGGCGUGCAGACCGGUGACCGCCUGUGAAAGGCGUGUCCCCUGGCAGAGACCUCCGAUUGGGUCCCCAAGCCAAAGACCUAAAGGCUUUGAAGGCAGAGCUCAAGAGAAUCCCGGGAAGAAAUUGUCCCCAGUGUAGUGGCCUGCCUGUGACUCCUGGCC